GACGAACCGUGCGAACGUUGUUCGGAUUCACUGGGCUUAAAGGGCGCGUAGGCGGCUCAGCAAGUCGAGGGUGAAAUCUUUCAGCUCAACUGGAAAAGUGCCUUCGAUACUGCUGGGCUGGAGGGAGAUGAGGGCAUGCGGAACUUCCGGUGGAGCGGUGAAAUGCGUAGAUAUCGGAAGGAACGCCGGUGGCGAAAGCGGCGUGCUGGAUCUCCACUGACGCUGAGGCGCGAAAGCCAGGGGAGCAAACGGG
rnacentral:rRNA from 1 species